UAGGGAAUCUUCCACAAUGGACGCAAGUCUGAUGAAGCAACGCCGCGUGAGUGAAGAAGGCUUUCGGGUCGUAAAACUCUGUUAUUGAAGAAGAACGUGUGUGACAGUAACUGGUCAUGCAGUGACGGUAUUCAAUCAGAAAGUCACGGCUAACUACGUGCCAGCAGCCGCGGUAAUACGUAGGUGGCAAGCGUUGUCCGGAUU
rnacentral:rRNA from 1 species